UCCCAAGGUAAGAAACACAUCCCUUUAAUUACCCUCCCAAGGUAAGAAACACAUCCCUUUAACCCUCCUCCCAAGGUAAGAAACACAUCCCUUUAAUUACCCUCCCAAGGUAAGAAACACAUCCCUUUAAUCCUCCCAAGGUAAGAAACACAUCCCUUUAAUCCUCCUCCCAAGGUAAGAAACACAUCCCUUUAAUCCUCCCAAGGUAAGAAACACAUCCCUUUAAUUACCCUCCCAAGGUAAGAAACACAUCCCUUUAAUUACCCUCCCUAGGUAAGAAACACAUCCCUUUAAUUACCCUCCCAAGGUAAGAAACACAUCCCUUUAAUUACCCUCCCAAGGUAAGAAACACAUCCCUUUAAUCCUCCUCCCAAGGUAAGAAACACAUCCCUUUAAUUACCCUCCCAAGGUAAGAAACACAUCCCUUUAAUUACCCUCCCAAGGUAAGAAACACAUCCCUUUAAUUACCCUCCCAAGGUAAGAAACACAUCCCUUUAAUCCUCCCAAGGUAAGAAACACAUCCCUUUAAUUACCCUCCCAAGGUAAGAAACACAUCCCUUUAAUUACCCUCCCAAGGUAAGAAACACAUCCCUUUAAUCCUCCCAAGGUAAGAAACACAUCCCUUUAAUCCUCCUCCCAAGGUAAGAAACACAUCCCUUUAAUCCUCCCAAGGUAAGAAACACAUCCCUUUAAUCCUCCUCCCAAGGUAAGAAACACAUCCCUUUAACCCUCCUCCCAAGGUAAGAAACACAUCCCUUUAACCCUCCUCCCAAGGUAAGAAACACAUCCCUUUAACCCUCCCAAGGUAAGAAACACAUCCCUUUAAUCCUCCUCCCAAGGUAAGAAACACA